rnacentral:rRNA from 1 species
CCCUUAGAUGUUCUGGGCCGCACGCGCGCUACACUGAUGCAUUCAACGAGUUUCUUCCUGGUCCGAGAGGAAUGGGUAACCUUUUGAAAGUGCAUCGUGAUAGGGAUAGACUAUUGCAAUUAAUGGUCUUCAACGAGGAAUUCCUAGUAGACGUAGUUCAUCAGACUGCAUCGAUUACGUCCCUGCCCUUUGUACACACCGCCCGUCGCUCCUACCGAUUGAAUGCUCAGGUGAGCCAUUCGGACUUUCAUCAUGCUGGUUUCCAGUUUUGAUGAAGGAAAGUCUUGCGAACCUUAUCAUUUAGAGGAAGGAGAAGUCGUAACA